UACGUAGGGUGCGAGCGUUGUCCGGAAUUAUUGGGCGUAGAGAGCUUGUAGGCGGUUUGUCGCGUCUGCCGUGAAAAUCCGGGGCUCAACCCCGGACUUGCGGUGGGUACGGGCAGACUAGAGUGUGGUAGGGGAGACUGGAAUUCCUGGUGUAGCGGUGAAAUGCGCAGAUAUCAGGAGGAACACCGGUGGCGAAGGCGGGUCUCUGGGCCGAUACUGACGCUGAGGAGCGAAAGCGUGGGGAGCAAACAGG
rnacentral:rRNA from 1 species